GAUUUAUUGGGCGUAAAGCGCGCGCAGGCGGCGCUCAGCAGUGGCGCGUGGAAUCUCCCGGCUUACCUGGGAGGGGUCGUGCCAAACGGGAGUGCUUGAGGCAGGCAGAGGAUCGCGGAACGGGCGGAGUAGGGGUGAAAUCCGUAGAGACCGUCCGGAACACCAGUGGCGAAGGCGGCGGUCUAGGCCUGUCCUGACGCUCAGGCGCGAAAGCGUGGGGAGCGAACGGAAUUAGAUACUCCGGUAGUCCACGCCCUAAACGAUGGCCACUCGGUGUCGGGGGUAUCGACCCCCCCGGCGCCCCAGCUAACGCGGUAAGUGGCCCGCCUGGGGACUACGGCCGCAAGGCUAAAACUCAAAGGAAUUGACGGGGGCCCGCACAAGCAGCGGAGCGUGUGGAUUAAUUCGAUGCAACGCGAAGAACCUUACCUAGGCUUGACAUGGCUCUGGUAGGGACCCGAAAGGGAACCGACCCGCAAGGGAGGAGUCACAGGUGCUGCAUGGCU
rnacentral:rRNA from 1 species